rnacentral:tRNA from 1 species
GCCGAGGUGGUGAAACUGGUAGACGCAGCGGACUCAAAAUCCGCCGGACUUCGGUCCAUGGGGGUUCGAUUCCCCCCCCCGGCACUA